rnacentral:rRNA from 1 species
CUACGGGUGGCUCCAGUGAGGAAUAUUGCACAAUGGGGGGAACCCUGAUGCAGCAACGCCGCGUGGAGGAUGACGCAUUUCGGUGUGUAAACUCCUUUUAUAUGUCAAGAAAAUGACGGUAGCAUAUGAAUAAGCACCGGCUAACUCCGUGCCAGCAGCCGCGGUGAAUACGGAGGGUGCAAGCGUUACUCGGAAUCACUGGGCGUAAAGGACGCGUAGGCGGGUUGGAAAGUCAGGUGUGAAAUCCUACAGCUUAACUGUAGAACUGCACUUGAAACUUCUAAUCUAGAGUAUGGGAGGGGGAGAUGGAAUUAGUGGUGUAGGGGUAGAAUCCGUAGAUAUCACUAGGAAUACCUAAAGCGAAGGCGAUCUCCUGGAACAUUACUGACGCUAAGGCGUGAAAGCGUGGGGAGCAAACAGGAUUAGAUACCCUGGUAGUC